AUUUUAGGUAUUUAUGGAGGGUGGUGAAUAGUCAGCUGUAACUUGAGGGCAGGGGGACAGUGUCUUGAUUUAUCUUCAUGACCCCUCCGUAACCCUCCGACAAGUAUGAGACUGACAUAGACCCUGUGUAAUAAAUGGCCCUGAAAAGGCCAGGUUGCUUCCAUUGGACCAAUAAUCAAAAACUUGUUAAUUCCAGGAAGUAGUGUGCUCACUCUUGAAGCUUUGUUUGCCCUGUGUCAGGAGUGGCCUGAGUCAGCUGGCACGUGGGACAUGGAGUGACCAUGAUGGCUGGUUCUCUGGGGACUCAAUGAACAGAAUGGAAGAGCGCUGGGACCACACCGGAGCCCUGACGCUGAGCCAUGACAACCGGGAAGGAGUUGGUUUCUCAACACAGCUAGAAAAGCAUCUGCAUCAGGUCCCAGCCCCUGACUGAACCUACCAGAAGGGGCAGGAGAGAUGAAAGACAGAGGGCAGCGAACGUACCUUCAAAGCUCUUGAUUUUCCUCAAAAAGGCAUAACAAGUCAAGUGAAUUUUUUAAAAACACGAGGGAGAUGAGAAAGAGGGCUGAAUCACUACUUCAGGGCUACUUCCUGUGCCUGGAGACUGGGCACGAGCACACCGAACUGCAUCCCAGUGACGAAGCGCACGGAUGUCCUCUCCAGUCCCAGACAGCAGCGCCUGCUCCACUCGCCACCGGGGCCCUGUGGCCACUUCCUGGGUGGGAAACUUAGCAAGGCAACGUAUUUUUAUCAGCAGACGGAACAGCUAUGGGAAGAUGAGGGCAGAAAUCUAAGUUUUCCUUUGGGUCCUGUCCAUUAUUUUAGAAAACCCAAAGCUCCCACUGCUCCAAAUUAUUGGGGAUCUUUUGGCUUUUGUCACCCUGGGAACACAAGGCGGUGGUCAGGGUAGCAGCAACUGCAACAGAGCCCCGGUGUAAUUGUAAUGUCACUGUACUGCAGAGCUCCUUCUUCAGAGGCAUUGCCUGAUGAAAUAGAAAUCAUCUGAGCUUUAUUUAUUUGAGGGAGAGAGGGCGGGAGGGAGUGAGGGAGCAUGC